rfam:Ictidomys tridecemlineatus contig008239, whole genome shotgun sequence.
UGGGGUGUAGCUCAGUGGUAGAGCACUUGCCUGGCAUGUGUGAGGCACUGGGUUCGAUCCUAGUACCACAU